ensembl:lncRNA
UGACCACAGUGGAUGACAUCACAAUGGGCUGUGCGCUAGGAAGUCCAGGCCAUCUUUGGGGUCACAGUAUUCUAAGAAAUCGAACAGUGUGCCACCCUCCCCAGUGUGGGUACAGACUCAGGUGUAGACAGCUUUCAGGCACUGAUUUCAUACUCCCAAUAGGGCAGAGAAGGUGAGCUGUGCGGGUGCCAGAAGCACUUCCCCCACCGUGGAAAUGAGAAGACACGUAAACAAGCCACAGAAACAGACUUCCAGAUCACCCACAGCAACCCCAAAGGGAAAUGAGAUGGAACAAUCUGAUACUCAACCACCUGGACUCCCUGAACUGGCAGCA